rnacentral:lncRNA from 1 species
UCAUCUGGUUGCAUUGUAAACAUAAAAUUAUGCCAAUUAUGUGACUAGAUUAGUCUUUUGAGGAGAAAAUGUGGUACAAAAUUAGCCUAAAAAGGCCAAAAUUGGCCAGCUUCAAAGACAAUUUUCAAGUAACCAAGCAUUCUCUUAUAUCAAAGUUCAACCAUUUUUCUCUCUGUUUCAAUGGUUUUUAUCAUGGUUCCAAACUCAGUGUUGGUGUGGGAAUGAUUAAAAGAAAUUCUACUUUGGGAGCGUCCACACUCCCACUUUCACCACUGAUUGUCACUUCAAUACGGAUUAAUCAUGUUAAUACUAAAAUUACUUUAAUUUACUAUUCAGGUUCCCUUCGAGUCACAGCUGAUUUCUUUGAAAACGAGAAAUCAGAAGUUUGCAGUUACAUUAAGAGGUGGGGACAAGGACGUGGUGAGAGACACAACUGGUUUGUUACCAAGUAUCCCUACCAUGAAGUCAAGGCUUGAUUUGGGUCAGAUUUUGUGUCUGCUGAAAUGUAUGGGCACAUACUUCAGUGGCUGGGGCAAUCCUUGACACGCCGUCUAGUGAGAGAUAAACGUCGCCCUUACACUAAGCCAGUGACUCAGAUCUUUACUGUGCCGGAACUUCCAAUGGAGUACACACAGGCUGCAUGGCACUGCAUCGGUAUGUGGCCAUUAAGGAAGUAAUCAUAUUCCUUGCUGAGAAACUGACAGGGAGAACCUACUCUUCAAUCAACCCAGAGUGUCAAAGGACAGAAUUGCAUUCAAAAGAGCUUUAAUUGCAUAAUUAUGAUGCUCCUUUGAAAGGGUUACUGUUUUAAUGAAUGCAGCCAACUCAUUGAUGCCUUGAUGUGGUUUGGUUGUUCUCUGUACCUUUCUUUCAUUCACAUAUGGACCCGUGAAGAUUCCAGGGUAGAAUAGGUCUUCAGCAACCAUCCUUGCCGUAAAAGGCGACUAUGCUUGUUGUAAAAGGCGACUAACAGGAUCGGGUGGUCAG